rnacentral:rRNA from 1 species
CAAUAGCGUAUAUUUAAGUUGUUGCAGUUAAAAAGCUCGUAGUUGGAUUUCGGGUGGGACGCAGCGGUCUCGCAUUGCGUUUGUACUGCUGCAGCCCUCCUUCUUGCCGGGGGCGGCCUCUCGGACUUCACUGUCUGGGGGUCAGAAUCGGCGAUGUUACUUUGAGUAAAUUAGAGUGUUCAAAGCAAGCUUACGCUCUGAAUAUAAUAGCAUGGGAUAACACGACAGGACUCUGGCCUAUCGUGUUGGUCUAUAGGACCAGAGUAAUGAUUAAGAGGGACAGUCGGGGGCAUUCGUAUUCCGUUGUCAGAGGUGAAAUUCUUGGAUUUACGGAAGACGAACAUCUGCGAAAGCAUUUGCCAAGGCUGUUUUCAUUGA